rnacentral:tRNA from 1 species
GUUUCUCUAGCUUAUUUGGUAAAGCGCCGGUUUGUGGCACCGGAGAAUAGGGUUCGAUUCCCGGAGAUACCCCA